GCAGAGCCCAGCUUAGUUUACACUGGCCCACAGGACUGAGCCUUCUACAUUCCAGAGAGGGAAAAGCCCAGCCUUUCCAAUCUCUCCUUGGAACCACAGCCCUCCAUUCCAGCCCCUGUUUCAU